rnacentral:misc_RNA from 1 species
GUGAAUCAUCAAAUUUUUGAACGCAAAUUGCACUCUUUUCGGAGAGUAUGCCUGUUUCAGGGUCAGCCUAAAAAAAAUCGACAUAGUUGCUGUUUUCGCGGUUACAUUCGUCGGAAAUUGGGUCAUCUUAAAUCCUUUUGAUUUAAGCGACUUAAAAUUUUCUUUUGGUUCCAUGAACGCUUCUAAGAACAAUUUCAUUACACGUUUAAGGUAUCGAUUUCUACUAGACGUGACCAUCAUAACGGCCCUUAUCCAUAAUUUUUUUCAUAAA